rnacentral:rRNA from 1 species
GACGAACGCUGGCGGCGUGCCUAAUACAUGCAAGUAGAACGCUGAAGGAGGAGCUUGCUUCUCUGGAUGAGUUGCGAACGGGUGAGUAACGCGUAGGUAACCUGCCUGGUAGCGGGGGAUAACUAUUGGAAACGAUAGCUAAUACCGCAUAAUAGUAGAUGUUGCAUGACAUUUGCUUAAAAGGUGCAAUUGCAUCACUACCAGAUGGACCUGCGUUGUAUUAGCUAGUUGGUGGGGUAACGGCUCACCAAGGCGACGAUACAUAGCCGACCUGAGAGGGUGAUCGGCCACACUGGGACUGAGACACGGCCCAGACUCCUACGGGAGGCAGCAGUAGGGAAUCUUCGGCAAUGGACGGAAGUCUGACCGAGCAACGCCGCGUGAGUGAAGAAGGUUUUCGGAUCGUAAAGCUCUGUUGUAAGAGAAGAACGAGUGUGAGAGUGGAAAGUUCACACUGUGACGGUAUCUUACCAGAAAGGGACGGCUAACUACGU